rnacentral:tRNA from 1 species
GUUGGCGUCUAAGCAAUAGGUUGUAAGAAGGCUAUUCGGUCUCCAAAACCGCAGGUCGUAGGUUCGAGCCCUGCUGCCCGUGCCA